UUGUUUUUGUAUGUGUUGUGACUAGUCGUUGUCACCUUCAAGCUGUAUAUUAAGCUGCCUGCAGUGGAAGUUUAUCCAAUUUAAUAUUACCAGCUUUCAAGCCAUGAAGUUGAUUUUUCAAAUCCUUGCUUUCCUGUACAAAUCUCUAUGUAUAACUGGACCCUUAAGAAGGACAAUGAAAAACCUAAAUGGAGGCACAGAGACCCUGCUGCAAAACCCACUGUGGGCAAUCUCCACGCAGAUCUCAUUUCCCUGUUCUUUGUGUCCCCCAGCUACAGCACAGCACUUCAACAUGUAAUGAAUGGUGUUAUGAACAAUCUGCUUUAUGUAACCGAG